CCCCAGUCGGCGUUUGCGUCUCGUCUCGCCUCCGCACCGCACCGCUCUGUGCAGUUUCAGGAAUCUGACAGCGGGAAGUCGCCGAAACAAGAACGCGUUCGCUCCACGGACAGUUCCAGGCUGCGGCAGAUGAUGCAGCCACCGGUAACAACCACAGAAACAUGCAAGUCUUUGACCUUUGGAUAAUUGCAGACUACAGCAGAUGUAAGUAGAAACAUACCGAGCGUCUGAAUUAGGCAAAUGGAUACGGCAUAUUGUGUGUCGUAUUUUGUCUAGAUUGUACUAAGCAUAUAUUGCGCUACGGAAAGACCGCCUUUACAUGGGCUGCCGCAUCAGGUAUCGCAAUCAUAGGAACAUCAUUUCAAUUUACCGUUUCCAACCACCACAUCUGGGUGGUCAAGUAAUCAC